GACGAACGCUGGCGGCGUGCCUAACACAUGCAAGUCGAACGGAACUGUUUUGAAAGAUUUCUUCGGAAUGAAUUUGAUUUAGUUUAGUGGCGGACGGGUGAGUAACGCGUGAGUAACCUGCCUUCAAGAGGGGAAUAACAUUCUGAAAAGAAUGCUAAUACCGCAUGACAUAUCGGAACCACAUGGUUUUGAUAUCAAAGAUUUUAUCGCUUGAAGAUGGACUCGCGUCCGAUUAGUUAGUUGGUGAGGUAACGGCGCACCAAGACCGCGAUCGGUAGCCGGACAGAGAGGACGAGCGGCCACAUUGGGAGUGAGGCACGGGCCAGACUCCUUCGGGAGGGAGCAGUGGGGGAUAUUGGGCAAUGGGCGCAACCCUGACGCAGCAACGCGGCGUGAAGGAUGAAGGUUGUCGGAGUGUAAACUUCUUUUAUUAAGGACGAAAAAUGACGGUACUUAAUGAAUAAGCUCCGGCUAACUACGUA
rnacentral:rRNA from 1 species